rnacentral:antisense_RNA from 2 species
CCGUUAGUGGAAAAAAGUCGACGUUUUUUGCUUCUUUUGAUGCCGUUGCUGUGUUUAAUACCACUGUGUCGCCAUAACGGACUAAUACCGCUCCAUUCGCUUGUUUCGCUAAUUGGCCAAUUUCCACGACAAGCGGCCGUCCAGCCCAGUCUAUGGAAAAAAUGCGUUUUUCUUGCUCCAUAUAAACGAGUACUCCUCUCUAUGUACAAAUCGAAAAUAAACGAAUGUAUAUACUGUUAGUAUGGACGAAUCAUUGGCAAUGUAUCAGUUCCUAUUUAUUAAUCAUAGCGAAAAAUCGCUUAUAUAACUAGCAAAAAAGCGGGAAUGCUCCCGCUUUUUUU